rnacentral:rRNA from 1 species
CCUACGGGAGGCAGCAGUGAGGAAUAUUGGUCAAUGGACGAGAGUCUGAACCAGCCAAGUAGCGUGAAGGAUGACUGCCCUAUGGGUUGUAAACUUCUUUUAUAUGGGAAUAAAAUGUUCCACGUGUGGGAUUUUGUAUGUACCAUAUGAAUAAGGAUCGGCUAACUCCGUGCCAGCAGCCGCGGUAAUACGGAGGAGCCGAUCGUUAUCCGGAUUUAUUUGGUUUAACGGGAGCGUAGGUGGAUUGUUAAGUCAGUUGUGAAAGUUUGCGGCUCAACCGUAAAAUUGCAAUUGAAACUGGCAGUCUUGAGUACAGUAGAGGUGGGCGGAAUUCGUGGUGUAGCGGUGAAAUGCUUAGAGAUCACGAAGAACUCCGAUUGCGAAGGCAGCUCACUGGACUGCAACUGACACUGAGGCUCGAAAGUGUGGGUAUCAAACAGGAUUAGAUACCCUGGUAGUC